CAGACCAGAUCAUUCUUGGAUUCACUCACAAACUGAACAGAGCUCCACAGCAGUCAGCAUGGAAUUGAGGACUCUAGCCCUGCUCACUCUCCUGAUGGGGACUAUCUGCUUAUCUGAAGAGAAACCGGUCAGCUUGAGUUACCGAUGUCCCUGCAGAUACUUUGAAAGCAACGUGGCCAAAAGCAACAUCAAGCACCUGAAGAUUCUGUCGACCACCAACUGCUCUCUACAGAUUGUUGCCCGUCUGAAACACAGUGGUAAACAGAUUUGCCUGGACCCCAAGAUUAAAUGGAUUCAGGAAUAUCUGGAAAAAGCCUUGAACAAGUAAGCAGGCAACAGCAGAGGUGCAGCCACAACCCCCGGCCUGAAAUGUGUUAAGACAUGUCCUCUACGGGCACCCACAAACCACUCUUUCGGAAUCCCGUAACGUAUCUCCUGCUGAGCAUUGUCACAACCCUAACACUUUCCAAAGACUUAAAGGGGGUGUCUAUUUGAUAAAGCCGAGACAGCAAAAUAAUCACUUUUCUACACCUUAAUGUCUUGGUGGUAUCUCCAAAUUCACAAGUGAACUCCCAUAGCCAGUUCAUUGUAAGAUUCACAGCCAGGCUGCUACUGUGAACUGUACCAUUUGCAGUAAUAAUAGUCUGUAUUUAAGGUACGGUACAGUAUUACACACUAUAGUUAUAACUCAGUGUUACAGAAGUCUAACCGACCUGUUCAGUCCGUGCGUUUUCUCUCUGUGUACAGGUUUUCCUCUGUUUAACGUAAUUUUGGAGCCUAGUGAGCUGUGACAGAAGGAAAGAGGGCUAAGCCUUGCAUUACUGUCAUUGAGUGCUAAAUUACCCUUUUAAAUCGUUAUGGGCUACUGCUUCAGUGCAAUGCCGGUAUAUCCUGCCCCUAUAAACAGGAAGACAGGAGAGGUGCCUGUUAAAGGAGCCUGCCUUAUCUUCUGUUAUGGGUAGAGUACAUGCAUUUUAAAAAUUUUGUAACCACAGGACCAAUUUGUGUAGUAUAUAUAACUUUUAUUUUGAUACUUUUUCCGGUGGGGGUGGGUCGGUGAUUCUGAGGGUUACUUCGCUCCCACUAAAUGCAAUACAAUCUUCACAUUAAGUCAGUGCAAUACUUUGCAGGUCCUUCCAGUAGAAAGGAAUCUGUGAGCCUAGCAGAUAAAAAAAGGACUUCCAUGGUUGAUUGACUCUCUCAGACAUUUCUAAAAACUCACCGAAUCAUCCACAAAGGAAAGGGUUAAAACUAGUAUUUUCAAACGAACUACAUGAAUUCUGUGAUGAUUCUUUACUUGGAACCUUGAAAGUUCCAAUGUUCUACGAGAAGAAUGAAAAAACACAAAAGUCUUCUCUCAGUCAGCUUCACACCAAAUGAGAUUUCCCAGCUGCCCAGUGUUUUAUUUUGAGGUUCGCAAAAAUCCUUUCAGCAUCUGGUCUCAUUCUCCCUAGCCUACACGAAGACAGCCCUAUUCCAGCUGCCUGCAUGAUUUUAUGAAUAUUUUUUUAACCUGCGUCAAAACAUUGGUUUUGCUUCUAUGCCAAAACGCAAAUGCCAUAACAAGAACACAAGCAUACAAGCUUUUUUUUUUUUUUUUUGUAAUUAUGCAGGCAAUUCUUACCAGGUAGGAAUGGACUUUCGUUAGUAAUUAUCAAUGUUUAAACCUGACUUCAGGACCAACUAUAGAUUCUUUUUUAAAAAGCACUUCAUUUUUUUAUAUACACUUUUUAUUUAACAAAAAAACUCUUCCUUUUAUAUUCAACACAUUGUUCAUGUACAUAAUUUGCACCGCAGCUGCAGGGAACGUACAAAUGCCAAAUAAUACAGUCACAUACUCUGAUUUCAUAGUUUUUGUUUUCUGUAAAUGAGUUGGCCUGCUUACGGUGCAAAAAUCUGAAGAGCAACUGAUAGCAGCCAGGAUGUUUGGUGCCCACAUCGUAUGUUCACAAGAAGUAAUGUCUAUAGACGCAUAAACUCUGUCUCAGAUAAACUUUAUUCUGCUUUAAUCCAAAAAGCAAUAUUUGGGAUUUUGUGCACAUGGCCUACAAAGUCAUUAAAUGAAGUGAUAGGACACAGAGUUGCUGAGGCAAACCUAGUAGGAAACUCAAGAGAAAGCAACCAGGAAUCCAGACAGCCGGUGUGAAAUCAAAAUAAUAAUGGUUAAUGCACAACUGCCAGCAGAAUAUGCCUAUUUAGUUAUGCAAUAGCCCCCUUCUGUUGCAACAUUUUCCCAUCUGUUGUUAAACCCCCUCUUUUUGACAAUCGGGGGGCAUACAAAGUCCCUGAUAUAAAAAUUGUUGCCUUUCACUAAAAUUAACCAUUACAUUAAAAAACAAAACAAAAAAAUGUAUACCUCUUUUCAUCUUUUCUAGCGUAGAGAGUGAGAUAAUCCAACCAAGGUUUACUGAAUGGAAUUUGGGUGAAAUUAUUUACAGUCAACAAAGUGUCUUCCUUUGCACCCUGGUACGCAAUUAUGUUUUCAGCAUUGGAACCCCCAUACUUUGAGAUGUGUAUGAGGGCAAAAACAUACACAAAUAAUUCCAGACAUGAAAAAAGUCUUUUAUGUGGAAAUUCUUACUUAAUCGUACAAUUAUAUCUAAUAGGAAGGGAAACUUCUGAGAUUACUGCCUAGGUUACAACAAACGGAAGAAUGAGCUUUGUCAAUCACAUUUGUUUAUGCACAGACAUAGUGUGUAAACUGUGCAAGCUCUUUCUCAGUGGUCAGAAACCCAUUCUCACAACGCCUCUAAUGCUUGGAAUACUAGAGCAGGGUUAGGCCACCUUCGACACUCCAGAUGUUGUGGACUACAGCUCCUUUAAUGCUCUUACAGCCAUAAUGCUGGCAAAGCAUUAGGGGAGAUGUAGUCUACAAAACAUCAGAAGUACCAAAGGUUGCUUAUCCCUGUAUUUAAGGCUCAAUUUGAAGGAUAGUUUAUGAUACACAAUAAAAUGUAAUCCAUUAUAAACUCUAGCACAGGGCUAGACAAAAUCUAGUUCUCUAUCUGUUGUGGAACUGGAACUCCCCUGAUGCUUGGCUAUCUUUAAGGCUAGCAAAGCAUUAUGGAAGGUGUAGUUCUACAAUGGAUGGGGCUCUAUGUUAAGUUCUAAGAAUGGUACGAUUACCAUGGCAACCAACCAAAUACGCUUCCCUGCUUAUUGUCCCUUUUUGAGUACUUUGCUCUAGAAUUAUUAUUCACGCAUCACCCACUGUAUAAUGCUUUUAGUCCCCACUUCCUGUGCAGUGCUGCAAUCAGAUCUAUGUUGGUGUUUGGUGUGCAACCAGAGGUUAGAAAUUCAAUAAGAGAGUUUGAUCAUUGGAUCUAAAAGUAUGUGUUGAGCACACACAGUGCCUAAACAGUAAAAUGUGUGUUAUCCCUUUACUAUGUAUAGUUCUGGCAAGUUCACCUGCUGAAGGUUUAUGCAUUGUAACACAUUGUUUAAUUGAGUAACCCUCAAAAAAGUAAUGAAAGAACAUCUGGCUGGCCUUUCCUGGCUGUUGGACAACCCCCACACUCUUACCUUCCUGCCCCACACAUACAUCAAUUCUUCUGAGUGUAGUGGGACCCUCCAUGCAUAGACUGCUUUUUGUCUCUUUGCAAACCUCUGACCUUGAUACAGGAUGUGCAUUUGCUCCUGUGUGAGGGGCCAUCUUAAUUAAAGACACCGACCCUCAAAGACUCUCGUAAAUUAGGUGCCCCAAAGGUGCCUCUAGGGUUAGACAACCAGAACCAAAACAACGUGACAAAGCUCUUAACCCUUUCACUAUCUAGAAAACAGCCAAGGAAUAUGAAGUUAGCCUCUUUGAAACCAGAAACUUGACACCCCCAACUCAUAAAAUAAAGAAUUCUGUGUCUGCACAGGAUCUGCUGAUGUGUAAAGGAUGUCUAUAAGAUUCUUAUUUUAACAAUGUAUCCAUUCUUUCUGUGAUCUUUGGAUUUCAGUCUUGAUCGUUACGUUCAAAUUAGAUUUUCAUGACAGUGUCUGGGUUAAUGUAAAAUAGCUUUCUCACAUAGUGACAUUUAUUUUAUUUGUUGCCACCCGGUUUGUAACCAAAAAUAAGUUGGCAAAAAAAAAGUGAAUUUAGUGCUGUGUUACCGUGUUUUAUUGGUAAGCCAGGCAGCAGAUCUGUUAAAUUGUCACUUCCUUUUAACUUUGAAAUGAUUAUAUACUAAUCAAAGCACUAACCCUGCAUUAUAUUGCAAGGCUUUACCAAUCCUAACAUGGUCCAGUUCAGCUGUUGACCUUAUCAUAAAUACAUUUCUGAUUGCCAUAGUCAACUUGCUGCUGGCAUUGUAAAAGAACUAGCCAGAUCUUGCAUGGCCAUUGUAGAUCUGAGAAUAGAACCUGUCCCUCGGGUAAUUAUCAUUACAAGACUUCUUUGAUAAGCGAAAAUCAUGCCCAGCAGGCAUUAACUGUGCAGGUAUUUUUAUGUAAGUUUGUUUGAGCAGAUAAGAUCAGAUCUUGCCUUUGAGAAACAAUUUUUUUUGUUUAAUGGAAAAUAGGUGCUAGAGGGCUACAAUAAAAUCAAAGCUACCCUGUAGAGUGCUAUUUCACUAUCAAUGUACAGAGAUGGGGCAAAACUGCUGCAUUUCAAACCAUAUAAAUGUGGGGGUCAAACGUAUAAAUAGACACCUUACCUAAAUUUUAUUGGUUACGCCAUUUACUUAUAAAGAAAAGCCUCAACCACUGUGUUCGCAUGCACAUUCUGUAUUUAUGAGGAAGUUAACAUUUUGGGGUGUAAUUAUCUCUCUGUUAACUCUAAGCCUCUAUAAUUUUCUAAAGAAUUAAUUCAUUGUUCUGCUUACUUUACAAACUCCAAUAAAGACUGAUCUGCAGCAUGCAAACAGGAAAUGGGGAAAACAAUCA